UCCUACGGGAGGCAGCAGUGGGGAAUUUUGGACAAUGGGCGAAAGCCUGAUCCAGCCAUGCCGCGUGCAGGAUGAAGGCCUUCGGGUUGUAAACUGCUUUUGUACGGAACGAAAAGACUCUGGUUAAUACCUGGGGUCCAUGACGGUACCGUAAGAAUAAGCACCGGCUAACUACGUGCCAGCAGCCGCGGUAAUACGUAGGGUGCAAGCGUUAAUCGGGAUUACUGGGCGUAAAGCGUGCGCAGGCGGUUAUAUAAGACAGAUGUGAAAUCCCCGGGCUCAACCUGGGAACUGCAUUUGUGACUGUAUAGCUAGAGUACGGCAGAGGGGGAUGGAAUUCCGCGUGUAGCAGUGAAAUGCGUAGAUAUGCGGAGGAACACCGAUGGCGAAGGCAAUCCCCUGGGCCUGUACUGACGCUCAUGCACGAAAGCGUGGGGAGCAAACAGGAUUAGAUACCCUGGUAGUCCACGCCCUAAACGAUGUCAACUGGUUGUUGGGUCUUUACUGACUCAGUAACGAAGCUAACGCGUGAAGUUGACCGCCUGGGGAGUACGGCCGCAAGGUUGAAACUCAAAUGAAUUGACGG
rnacentral:rRNA from 1 species